AGCUCCAAUAGCGUAUAUUAAAGUUGUUGCGGUUAAAAAGCUCGUAGUUAGAUUUUUGAUUUAGUCGACCGGUCGUUACAUUAUAUUGUAAUGUAUCAGGUUUGAUUAAAUUACUUGUCUAUGUUUUUAACUGCACUUAACUGUGUGGUUAAAAAAUAUUAGACCAUUUACUUUGAGGAAAUUAGAGUGUUUCAAGCAGGCAUAUGCCUUGAAUACGUUAGCAUGGAAUAAUAAAAUAAGACUUUGGUUUUAUUUUGUUGGUUUCUAAAACUAAAGUAAUGAUUAAUAGGGAUAGUCGGGGGCAUUCGUACUUAACUGUCAGAGGUGAAAUUCUUGGAUUUGUUAAAGACGAACUACUGCGAAAGCAUUUGCCAAGGAUGUUUUCA
rnacentral:rRNA from 1 species